rnacentral:rRNA from 1 species
CUAGCAUAUCAAUAAGCGGAGGAAAAGAAACCAACAGGGAUUGCCCCCAGUAACGGCGAGUGAAGCGGCAACAGCUCAAAUUUGAAAUCUGGUCCCCAGGGCCCGAGUUGUAAUUUGCAGAGGAUGCUUUUGGCGAGGCGCCUUCCGAGUUCCCUGGAACGGGACGCCAUAGAGGGUGAGAGCCCCGUCUGGUUGGAUGCCGAGCCUCUGUAAAGCUCCUUCGACGAGUCGAGUAGUUUGGGAAUGCUGCUCUAAAUGGGAGGUAUAUGUCUUCUAAAGCUAAAUACCGGCCAGAGACCGAUAGCGCACAAGUAGAGUGAUCGAAAGAUGAAAAGCACUUUGAAAAGAGGGUUAAAUAGUACGUGAAAUUGUUGAAAGGGAAGCGCUUAUGACCAGACUUGGGCCCGGUGAAUCAUCCAGCGUUCUCGCUGGUGCACUUUGCCGGGCUCAGGCCAGCAUCAGUUUGCCCCGGGGGAUAAAGGCUUUGGGAAUGUGGCUCCCUCGGGAGUGUUAUAGCCCAUUGCACAAUACCCUGGGGCGGACUGAGGUUCGCGCAUCUGCAAGGAUGCUGGCGUAAUGGUCAUCAGCGACCCGUCUUGAAACACGGACCAAGGAGUCGUCUUCGUAUGCGAGUGUUCGGGUGUCAAACCCCUACGCGUAAUGAAAGUGAACGCAGGUGAGAGCUUCGGCGCAUCAUCGACCGAUCCUGAUGUUCUCGGAUGGAUUUGAGUAAGAGCAUACGGGGCCGGACCCGAAAGAAGGUGAACUAUGCCUGUAUAGGGUGAAGCCAGAGGAAACUCUGGUGGAGGCUCGCAGCGGUUCUGACGUGCAAAUCGAUCGUCAAAUAUGGGGCAUGGGGGGCGAAAGACUAAUCGAAACCUUUCUAGUAGCUGGUUUCCGCCGAAGUCACC